rnacentral:rRNA from 1 species
UUUGCAGCCAUAUCGCCCUGCAGCCCAAGACUGGUUGCUCACUGAAGCUAAGCAGGGUUGAGCCUGGUCAGUACCUGGAUGGUAGACCUCCUGGGAAAGGUGCUAGUGAGG